rnacentral:rRNA from 1 species
GACGAUCAGUAGCCGACCUGAGAGGGUGAUCGGCCACAUUGGAACUGAGACACGGUCCAAACUCCUACGGGAGGCAGCAGUGGGGAAUAUUGCACAAUGGGCGAAAGCCUGAUGCAGCAACGCCGCGUGAGUGAUGAAGGCCUUCGGGUCGUAAAACUCUGUCCUCAAGGAAGAUAAUGACGGUACUUGAGGAGGAAGCCCCGGCUAACUACGUGCCAGCAGCCGCGGUAAUACGUAGGGGGCUAGCGUUAUCCGGAUUUACUGGGCGUAAAGGGUGCGUAGGCGGUCUUUCAAGUCAGGAGUGAAAGGCUACGGCUCAACCGUAGUAAGCUCUUGAAACUGGGAGACUUGAGUGCAGGAGAGGAGAGUGGAAUUCCUAGUGUAGCGGUGAAAUGCGUAGAUAUUAGGAGGAACACCAGUUGCGAAGGCGGCUCUCUGGACUGUAACUGACGCUGAGGCACGAAAGCGUGGGGAGCAAACAGGAUUAGAUACCCUGGUAGUCCACGCUGUAAACGAUGAGUAC